UAACCCUACAAUCAAGAAAAGAAGGUCUCUCUUCUGCUUCUGCCAGGUUUCACCCACAUGGCCUUUCCCCUGAGGUCUCCCCUGCCCAUCCUUCUAUAGUCAAGAAACCACGCCUCAUGGGUCCUCACUCGAACAUGAGAGAGCAGCGCCAAACCAAGCAGGGCACAGCUUAGGUUGCCUGAAAAAAAGAGAAGUUACUCGGCAGACAUCACCUCUGACCCAGAAGAGAAACUGACCCUCAUGGACAAAGAUACCAUGAUCUUCGGCCGCACCUGGUAACUUGGAAAUUGAAUGAGACCCAAGCACAUCACAACUGCCAAGCAAAGAAACCAGCAAACAAACAACCAGUAAAAUAAAUGUGAUAUAAAAGGCA